rnacentral:rRNA from 1 species
AUGCGCAGAUAUCAGGAGGAACACCGAUGGCGAAGGCAGGUCUCUGGGCAUUUACUGACGCUGAGGAGCGAAAGCAUGGGGAGCGAACAGGAUUAGAUACCCUGGUAGUCCAUGCCGUAAACGUUGGGCACUAGGUGUGGGGGACAUUCCACGUUUUCCGCGCCGUAGCUAACGCAUUAAGUGCCCCGCCUGGGGAGUACGGCCGCAAGGCUAAAACUCAAAGGAAUUGACGGGGGCCCGCACAAGCGGCGGAGCAUGCGGAUUAAUUCGAUGCAACGCGAAGAACCUUACCAAGGCUUGACAUGUGCCAGACCGCUCCAGAGAUGGGGUUUCCCUUCGGGGCUGGUUCACAGGUGGUGCAUGGUUGUCGUCAGCUCGUGUCGUGAGAUGUUGGGUUAAGUCCCGCAACGAGCGCAACCCUCGUUCCAUGUUGCCAGCACGUAGUGGUGGGGACUCAUGGGAGACUGCCGGGGUCAACUCGGAGGAAGGUGGGGAUGACGUCAAAUCAUCAUGCCCCUUAUGUCUUGGGCUUCACGCAUGCUACAAUGGCCGGUACAAUGGGUUGCGAUACUGUGAGGUGGAGCUAAUCCCUAAAAGCCGGUCUCAGUUCGGAUUGGGGUCUGCAACUCGACCCCAUGAAGUCGGAGUCGCUAGUAAUCGCAGAUCAGCAACGCUGCGGUGAAUACGUUCCCGGGCCUUGUACACACCGCCCGUCAAGUCACGAAAGUUGGUAACACCCGAAGCCGAUGGUCCUAACCACC